rnacentral:lncRNA from 1 species
CCACAGAGUCCCACAUUUAACAAGGGAAGGAGGUCUGCUGCUGCCCAUCUGAGUAGUGAUUUGGAUUCUAAUAAUUCUGAUGGUAUUUUGCCUGUUCCUCAAGGGAAUGCUUCUGUUGACCAUCAUUCUGUUGCAAGCUUAGAUGGUCCAAGCUCUGUGAUCCCUUGGGUUGAGCAAGCAUGAUUAUGACCAGCUGCUGAUGAUGAUACACCAGUCCAAGCUGGGUGAAUCCACUGCUCAAGCUCCCUCUCCC